CGUGAUCUUUCUUCUUUCUUCUUUCUUCCUAUUUUUAAUGAAAAGGUGUUCGAAAAGGCGGCGAGUGGUGCUUUGUAUGAACCGAAGAGACCUAUAAUACCUCCCCCGGUACAAAUUCCUCAUGCCGACCACUGAUCCACUGUAAGAUGCCUUGUCUAGUUUCGCUUGAAAAUUUGGUCCAAUUGGGUCGGGGACAAGUGUGUAUAUAUACCCCGCAUCGUGAGAGAUAAACAGCACAUCCUCAUUGUUCUCACGGAAAAGAUUUGAAUCCAUAUCCCUUGAAAAUCACUGCUCAAGAGAACUCCAUCAGACCAGUUCCUUCUGUCUUUUGAUUCCAAGAUGGCCACGCCACAAACCCAGCAGAAUCUUCCUCCUCCUGGCUACCCAACUGAGAACCCACCACCCACCGCGGGAGGCAAGAAGAAGUGGUUUGUUAGUUCAAAGAAGAGGGGAGAGAGGGGAUUCAUUGAAGGAUGCCUGUUUGCUCUUUGCUGUUGCUGGAUCUGUGAAGAAUGUUGCUGCUAAACGAUGGGUUUGCAUAGAGUAAUUGACGUAUUAGUAUGAUAUGUAUUUGAGCGUCCUGUUGUACUAAAUGUGUGUGGUCAUACGGUGUAAUAAUUUGCGACAGCCUGUGGUGUACCCAGUUCAUUUCCAUAUUCUUUUGUCCUAAUGGAUUUAUUUCUCUUA